AGUGAACGCUGGCGGUAGGCCUAACACAUGCAAGUCGAACGGCAGCACAGUAAGAGCUUGCUCUUACGGGUGGCGAGUGGCGGACGGGUGAGGAAUACAUCGGAAUCUACUUUUUCGUGGGGGAUAACGUAGGGAAACGUACGCUAAUACCGCAUACGACCUACGGGUGAAAGCAGGGGAUCUUCGGACCUUGCGCGAUUGAAUGAGCCGAUGUCGGAUUAGCUAGUUGGCGGGGUAAAGGCCCACCAAGGCGACGAUCCGUAGCUGGUCUGAGAGGAUGUUCAGCCACGCUAGAACUGAGCCAGGGUCCCGACUCCUACGGGAGGCAGCAGUGGGGAAUAUUGGACAAUGGGCGCAAGCCUGAUCCAGCCAUACCGCGUGGGUGAAGAAGGCCUUCGGGUUGUAAAGCCCUUUUGUUGGGAAAGAAAAGCAGCAGGUUAAUACCCCGCUGUUCUGACGGUACCCAAAGAAUAAGCACCGGCUAGCUUCGUG
rnacentral:rRNA from 1 species